CAGAUCGAGGACAAUGCAAUAUGACCAGUAAUGGUAUUGGUUAUGGAUUCCAUACUUCCGAUAAGAUUGAUUCCAAGAGCUGGAUAAUUGAUUCUGGUGCAACUGAUCAUAUGACGUUUGACCCUGAUGAUUUUUGGAAUACUACACAACCUCGACGAACCUGUAUUGCAAAUGCCAAUGGUGUUACUUAUCCUGUGACAGGGGUUGGCACUGUUGCACUCUCAUCCUCUCUCACCCUGUCCAAUACUUUAC
rnacentral:lncRNA from 1 species